UACGUAGGGGGCAAGCGUUGUCCGGAAUCAUUGGGCGUAAAGCGCGUGUAGGCGGCCCGGUAAGUCCGCUGUGAAAGUCGGGGGCUCAACCCUCGAAUGCCGGUGGAUACUGUCGGGCUAGAGUGCGGAAGAGGCGAGUGGAAUUCCUGGGUGUAGCGGUGAAAUGCGCAGAUAUCAGGAGGAACACCGAUGGCGAAGGCAGGUCUCUGGGCAUUAACUGACGCUGAGGAGCGAAAGCAUGGGGAGCGAACAGG
rnacentral:rRNA from 1 species